GAUUCCGGUUCAGCCCAACCACAACCGGCCAACCCAACCACAAUCCCCCGUGCUUGUGCGUACAUUUUUUUCCAUCCAUUCAGCCUAAACUAUCACCUAAAAUCUAGGAUAUAUUAUUCCCCCCAAAACAAACCCUAACCGGCCGGCCCAAUUCUCACGCGCUCGCCGCCUAGGAGCAUUCACGUUGGCGGCGGGCGGCGGCUCGGUUCCUCUCCUCCACCGCACCUCCAAGAAUCCACCUCCACGACUGAGCUGACGGCUCGGUAGCGCCAUGGCAGUUCACCGGCUCCAACCUUCCCCAUCCGGCCUACAGUGCUCCACCGCCCGGUCGCCAGUGCUCCUCCAUGGGCCACGGCUGACGGGUGCACGCACCGGUAUGCAUCCCUUGCUGCUCUAAUUCCCGACGCUCUAGCUCGUGUACCAGAUGUGCAGACUGUCGCCUAGCCCUGCUCCGGCGUGAAGGACUUCCGCUUUUGCCCCUGCGCAUCCCGCCCUUGGUCGCGCACCUCGGCAUGUUCCUCGGCCCGACGGCUACUGUCUUGAGGCAUACGGUGGCCGCCCACCUCGUACCCAGUCACCAGAUCUCAAGUUCCACCUCAAAAUCUAGAUCAAGUGAAUGCCAUGUUUCAUCCUUGGUUCAAUCGGUUCUUACUGGAAUUUGUUGGCAGGGCGACGAGCACCCACCACCGGUUAUGUGCACCCUCUCUCCUUCGGUCCUUCCUCCCUUUCUUCCGUGCUAAGCCACCGAGCACCCAAGCGGUUUGGCCUGAUGCCACAUCUCUGGUAGCUACAAACCUACAAGCUUUGACAAAAGAUGUUAUGAUUAGGCUGAUACAAAGUUGUUUCUGCUUCAUUAUCUCUGUAUCAUACUAGCACUUAUUAGGUUGCAACUUGAUUGUUUAGGUACUAGAUUUGAUCUGAUUGUGAAUUACCAGAUGGUUGGUGCAGGUAGGAGAGGUGGAUUUGGUGGACCUAGAUUCGAUGUGCAGAGAGCGACUUGGAGGUGGCUGACAUCUUCAAGCACUGCAUCAUGCAGUUACAACUACUGUUGGCCAUACAGGGAAAUGCUGGGCCUAUUAUACCAAUUGUUCAAAGCAUGGACCUUGUAUAAUUACAUGUUUUUAUCAUAGAUAGAUUAAUUUCUGAAAUGCCCAUAGAUUGGUAUAUUUGUGGAAAUUUAUUUGCCAACUGUAAGCCCGUCGUGAUGCAUAGAACAUUUGUGGUAUAAGAUUUUUCUGUUGAUGUUUGCAGGUUAUUUUUCCAGCACUUGACAUUCGAGUGAAAAAUGUCGCAGGGACAUAUUCUCUUGAACAUAAAGGAGAAAAUGAUCUCUUCGCACAUCAGACAAGGCUUCUACUCUUUCAGAAGAAAGUCAUUUUUAGGAGAAUCGUGAACAAAAUGACCAGAUGUUUAGGCCUGGUUGGAAGGACAUUUUUCGAAUGAAUCAGAGUGAGCUCGAGGCUGAGAUUUGAAAAGGUCUCUCGAGAUUCUACUCUUGAUCCAAGGAGGAAGGCCUAUCUGAUCCAAAAUCUCAUGACCAGCCGUUGGAUAGUUGCUCAGCAAUAAUCACCACAACCAAGCGUCGAAGGACAUAAUGGAUGUACACGAUGACCUGGAUGUGUUCCUUCGUACCGAGACCCAGGGAAACAAAUAUUUGGCUGUGAGCAUUACAAAAGAAACUGCAAGCUUGUUGCUGCAUGCUGCAAUAAGCUAUUCACUUGCAGAUUCUGUCACGAUAAAGUUAGUGACCAUACAAUGGACAAGUAACUCAAGAGGUCCACUUAUUGACUCUUAUGACCAUGUAAUUGGUGUUAAUACAACUACAUUAACAUGUAAAGGUUGGUAGAUCUGGAAGGUCUUGAUGGUCUAAUACCUAUCUAUGAGUACGGAAGAAAAGGCGGGAGAAGUCGGUCUCUGCAGCAUCGCGCGUGAAAAAAAAUCAGCCAAUUCCACGAGCAUUGAUGUUGUCAUGACUUCAAAAGAGGAGAGACCAUGCUAAGAAUAAUGCAUUAUGACAUUUGUCAGGCUUACAUAUCGACUGUUUGAUAUGGAUAGAUGUAUAGGUUUAUGACCAAUCCAGUUCAAAGCAAUUGGAGUAUAGAAGAAAUAAGGAGAAACAGGAAAGCUCUGUACAUCUUGCAUUUUGCUGUUGUUUGUCGAAGUUUCAAUGUCUGUCGCGUGACAAAAUAUAGUUGUAAUUUAUAUUUUGGCAUGCACGAAACAGGUGUAUUUAUUCAUUUUUGAACGAAAUUUUAUGUCAAAUCCUCUA